AGUAGCUUGCUACUUACGAGUGGCGGACGGGUGAGUAACGUAUGGGAAUUUACCGAAUGGAGGGGGACAACAGUUGGAAACGGAUGCUAAUACCGCAUAACGUCGAGAGACCAAAGGGUUUCGACUUGCCAUUUGAUGAGCCCAUAUGAGAUUAGCUAGUUGGUGUGGUAAUGGCUCACCAAGGCGACGAUCUCUAGCUGGUUUGAGAGGAUGACCGGCCACACUGGGAC
rnacentral:rRNA from 1 species